rnacentral:lncRNA from 1 species
CAAAAGGUAGGAAGGGAGCGUAAGGGUCGUUAUUAGUCAAGUCUCUUUGUUGGUUUGUUGUUCAGGUAUUGUUAGUCAAAGGUGCUGCUAGCUUAUGGUUCCCAUGGCUUCUAGUAGGAGAGAAGGUAGAGUGUGUAUUGUAGUGUAAAUCUUUCAGUGAAUCGGUAGGGGUGAGUGCAUUCUUGAUACCGAGCGCAGGAACGAAAUGAGCGCAGCCCGAGCGGAGUUCUACCUCUUAGCAUAAGAAGUAGCCCAGCCGACGCUUGAGGCAUCACCA